rnacentral:rRNA from 1 species
GACGUAGGGCGCAAGCGUUGUCCGGAAUUAUUGGGCGUAAAGAGCUCGUAGGCGGCUUGUCACGUCGGGUGUGAAAGCCCGGGGCUUAACCCCGGGUCUGCAUCCGAUACGGGCAGGCUAGAGUGUGGUAGGGGAGAUCGGAAUUCCUGGUGUAGCGGUGAAAUGCGCAGAUAUCAGGAGGAACACCGGUGGCGAAGGCGGAUCUCUGGGCCAUUACUGACGCUGAGGAGCGAAAGCGUGGGGAGCGAACAGG